rnacentral:RNase_P_RNA from 1 species
UAGGGCAGAUACCCGGCUUUCGGAGCACUUGCUCUGAGGAAAGUCCGCCCGCCAAAAAAACCGCACGCACAAGCGUGGCCUGGAAACAGGCGGCAACCGCUCAGAAACGAGACCGCCCGGGCGCAGGAUGAUGCGUGAGAGUUCUCCGGCGACGGAGUUCAGCACACCCGCAGACAUUUCCCGGGAAUGGGUGAAACGGCGAGCCCCGGUGGCGCAAGUCCUUUUUUGGACGCUUAGUAGAAUGCCGGGACGGGCAGUUCGGAAGAUGCCUGACAGAAGGCGGCUUAUUUCUGCCCUA